CUUUCAUCCCACAUGGCCUGUGAGCCUUGAAGAGGUUAUCCGUGUUACCUACACACUGCGAGCAAAAGAGCAGACAGUGUUACUUCCCAUAUUGUGCCAACUGGCUCUAAAGUGCCACCCUUGGAAGCCGUGUUUUCCAAUAAACCAAGGGGCUUCAACUCGCAAGAGCCCCUGCUACAAGUAGAGCGGAUAAUAAAUGUUCACUGCAAGGCCCAGCUUUCAGUUGCAUCAACUCAUUCGCAUGAUUGUUGUUGUGCCCUUUCCUGUGAGCUUCUUCUCAAUUGUGUGUGCUCUGCUUAAAUGUAAAGUCAUGACUCGCUGCUUGAGUGUUUCAUGUUUGGAGCUUUGCUUGCCAGACUAGUAACUGCUAUGGAAUGGGACGUUUGGAAAUCUCCUCCAGGUGGCAGAGAUGUGAGGAGGGCUGGGACAAGCGUCUUCGAAACAAAUUGGACAAAGCAACUCUGGAUGGGAACACAAGAGUACAUUCCCAAGUUGCGUUACAGCUAGAGCACAGUCUUCAAAAGUCCUUGAAUAUGCAGUAUUUGCAGUAUCACUGGCAAGCCAGAGGAAAGAUAAGUGGGUCUAUUGAGCAGCAGAAACAACAGGAAAGAUGUGGGCCUGGUUUCCUGAUCUGUCACCAUAAAGCAGCAGUUCAAAUGUUGGUUCUGGAUCCAGGCAGUGAGGUUCAGUUAGGUGUGCCAUGCUCACAAGGAAAACAGAAAGAGAUGGAUGACUUAAAAGGCUUUAUUACUGUGUUUUGGUGAGUUGAAAUUGGGAGACUCAAAUUCACUUUCUCAGAAGAUAUUUUUGUCUACUCGGUUUAAAAAUAUAUAUAUUUCUAGGAUUUCUUUUUCAUGAAAACUUCCAUGGUGGGGAAGAGUACAUCCAAAACCUUUGGGUGUUUUUUUUAAAGAAACAUUCACAGCAGUCUUGUGUGGCAGUGUUCCUGCCUACUAGCAGGGAGAUCUGAGAUCAAGUCCCAGUUGAGGUGACUUGGGGUGAGCAAGCUAACAAGAAGCAAGGCUUCUUGAACUACUUCACAGUUAGGGCAGCCAGACUCUGGAACCAGCUUCCAAGGGAAGUGUUGAUGGCUCCUACCCUGGGAGGUUUAAGAGGUGGCUUGAUGCCUGCCUGGCUGGAGUCAUCCAAGCCCCGUUUUUCUCCUGCCCAGGCUGGGGGUCAGACUUGAAGAUCUACAAGGUCCCUUCCCACCCUACUUCUAUGAGUCUAUGAAGCGCUUUGGGCUAAGAAAGAGGUGUUCAGAUCUGGAAAGAACUGAUUUGUUGAAGAGCUACGUCUAGAAAUGUGGUUGAAUGGCAUUGAGCAAGCUGUUCUCAAGUAAUGUCAGCCCAAACGGUAGAUUCAAACCUUCUCAUGUAAAUUCUGUCACCUUGCGGUGCUUCCAACACAUUCAAACUGUAACCAAGUAAGUGCUUUUUGGUUUUGGCUCCAGUGCAGAAAUGGAACCAGAAGGAGGAAGUCUGAAUGUAGAUUCAAACCCGCUCUUCAACUCCUCAUGGGGCAUCUAUACACACACUCCAGGGUGGAGGGGAAGGAGCUCCAAGAGCAGCUCUUAAUUAAAGCGGCCACAGCACCAUGUGUAUUCAGCAUCCUGCGCUUCAAAACAGUGGCAGGGGUGCUUGAACUAAACCUCAUUUGACAAGCUUUAGCUCAAGAGCCCCUACUGCCAUUUUGAAGCUCAGGGACACUGAAUAGAUGCGACUGCUUGAGCACAUUAAUUAGCACACUCCAGCAGACUUGAUUAAUCAGAGCAGAUGUGCAGCACAUGCAUAGGUGCCCCUGGAGUUCAGAGAACCUGCUUUUGGCUUAUUCCUAGUACAACAGCUCUCAGCCACAGACUGAUUGUUCCACCAGUAGUGAUCCCUGCGCCACCCUGAAGCCCGGCAUCGUAGGCACUCAGUCAUCUCCGAGCCCUCGCUUAGAACUUUCAGAUCCAUGUUCUUCCCCCUACUCCAUACCUGUAGCCCCAAAAGACAGCCGACUACUUGCUCUCAAGACUAUUACUUACCUAAGCUUGUCCCCUAUGGAUGACAUAGGUGCAGUUAAGACAAGUAGAUCCAUGGGACAGAAAGGAAGGUUUCUGUGGCUGAUGCCAGUUUGCUCUAGGAAUAAAAUAGCACUUAACACUCCA
ensembl:lncRNA